rnacentral:rRNA from 1 species
UACGAAGGGGGCUAGCGUUGCUCGGAAUUACUGGGCGUAAAGCGCACGUAGGCGGUCUUUUAAGUCGGGGGUGAAAUCCUGGAGCUCAACUCCAGAACUGCCUUCGAUACUGGAAGACUUGAGUCCGGGAGAGGUGAGUGGAACUGCGAGUGUAGAGGUGAAAUUCGUAGAUAUCGCAAGAACACCAGUGGCGAAGGCGGCUCACUGGCCCGGUACUGACGCUGAGGUGCGAAAGCGUGGGGAGCAAACAGGGAUUAAGAAA